GGCUUCCUUGGGGACCUUCGCCGGGCAAGACGGAUGAGGRGGUUCACCACCGAUUCUAGGCAUCAGGACGUUGUGGCUAUCMUCAUUGGAAGGUCGCAUCAUCCCAAUGCCGGAAGAGGUGGUCGUGCUGUGACAACCGGCCUGAGAACGAAAAUUGUUGGAUACAACAGAAUCACGGUGUGCCCACCGUGUCACCGGCGAGAAGCAGUCUGGCGGCCGAAAGGCUGCUGGUUCUUCCACGUCGUUGGCGUAUGGGUGCAAACAAUAUGGGAUAUAUAGUGCCUGUUCUCGCGCUCUGUGGACUUUCGGUCGUCGUCCUCAUAGCAGACCCGUUGUGCUAAGCACGAUGGGAUGCUCGGGCUUCUUGACCGUUGUGGCUACGCUGGCGCAUGAGAUGUUGUGGACAUGUGGCUGCCUGGAGGCCCCCCGUCGUUGUGCGGCCGACUCCAGGUGCAGUGUCCUUUCAAUUGUAUGGGUUUCAAAACCUGUGUCGUUGACGAGUGCUUGCGUUCUGCUACCCGUUCUGCGGGAAGUAGAGCUUCGUACAACUUGCCUUCGUCGCGUGCGCCCUUUGGGYGUGUCGCGUCGAUCACCUAGCGCUUGCGGUGUUGCCUCGCGGCGUCAGCCAUCUAGGCCGGCAUCGUCUAGGACACCUCGCAAUCGCUCUUGGUCUCGGAUGAUGCUCACUGUAUAGGCUCGUGGCAUUUUGGUGCCUCGUU
rnacentral:misc_RNA from 1 species